CCACCGUCUCUGGGACUGGGGUGGGAAGGAGAUGACGGGGGCAGCCCAGACUCCUCAGCUCCAGACCCUGAGUCAGGGGACCCUGAGGGCCUUGGCAGGAAGUGACCCGGAGCCUCACGUACAACGGAAGGAAACUGAGGUACUCGCAGGCUCAGGCUGUCAGCCGCUGUGCUACGCCUAGGCCCAGGCUCCACGGUGUCCUCCAACAGCCCCAGGGGAGCAGGCAAGGCCGACUCGGAGACGGAGACGCAGCUGGAGGCCACAGCACCAGUUAAUGGGGAGCAGGCAGCAGCUGACCAGACGCCAGAGCAGGCGGCUUAGGCCUGUCCCCUGCAGGAGGAGGAGGAUGGACGAGGGGCCUGGGUCAGCUCCAUGUUCAGCCCCCUGGGUGGCCCAGGGCAGCUUGCAGAAGCCCAGCCCAGCCCCGCCCAGCAACCUGCAGGUACCAGGUCCAGCCAGAGAGGACGCCAGGCCAGCCACCAGGCAACAAUAAACGUCCCGUUUCAGAUUCUCACGGCAGGGCUGGGGAGGAGGCGCCACCGUAGAGCACGUGCCCAGCGUGCAGGGGGCCCUGGGUUUGAUCCAGCACCACCCACCCCGCCCCCCACCCAGAUCUCACCUGUUCAGGAAGGGGAUCCGGGAGAGUCCUGCGGUGUGAGGCCUGGAUGGAGCCUGAGGAGUGGAGACGCGGGGCCUGGGGUAGCUGGAUAACAGAUGCCCCAGAGCGCAAAGUGGACAGGCCUGCGGCCAGGCCAGGCAGGUCAGCGUGGAGAUGAGCUGGGUCUGGUUUGUCCAGAGCUGAGGGCAGCCACUGAUCCUGGCUCUCCCAGCGACCCCCAAUGGACUAUGGGCCUUCCCAGCCAGGGGCCUUCCUCCUGCCCCAGAGGCCUCAAGGUGGCCGACCCCAACGUCCCCACUGGGAAGAAGACCCACCAGGAGCGACUGGUGCCAGGCGCUGACGCUUCAUCAAGUUCUGUGGUCAGAUAAUAAAACUGAGGCUCAGAGAGACGAGGGAUCUGCCCAGGGUCACAGAUCCAGUGCAGGGCUGAGUUUGAACUCAGUGUACUGGACACUGUCCUUGUGGCUGACCGCACCUUGGAAGUGGCAGAGACCACAGAGACUGGAAGAUAGCUGGUGAGGUCAGUGUCGGGCCCUGGUGACCCCGCCCUUGGGGCAGUGGCUUCAGUGCUGAGCAGGCAGCUUCUUAACGGGUCUGUGGUGAGCCAUUGACAGAGGAGGAGACUGAGGCUCAGAGUGGGGAGGUGACCAUCUUGGUCGUGGCCUGAGCCCUCCCGUGGGCCUGGCACUGGGUGUGUUCAGUGAAUGGUGACCCCCUAGGAAGGGCCAGCUGAGGAGGUGGAGACCUGGGUUGGGGUGGGAACAGGAGCAGGGACACCAGGAUAAUCAAACGGACAGUGGGCCUGGGACCCAGGACUUGGGGCUCCUGGCCCUGCCCCUCACGGCGCCCCAGACAUUCCUGAGGGGCCUGGGCCGUGGGAAGACCCUGCGUCUAUCCCAUCAGGCCUCACGGAGGUCCUGCCCCAACCAACAGGAAGUGCCAGGCAGACCCCACCCCCACCAGGCCGUGGGAAGCGCUGGGACUGCAGGGCUCCCAGCUCGCGCAGCCUCAGUGGGGCUGUGUGACCUUGGGCAAGGCCUUUGCCCUCUCUGGGCUUUGCUCUCCCCAUUUCUAGUCACAGGCUCCAGGACAGAGAUGCUGUGCCACCUCUGGAUGUGUGACCUUGGGCAGUGGCCGGGCCCCUCUGAAGCCUAGCUCCCUCUUUUGCACCUGGGGGACAGUGCCCACACCUGGGGGACAGUGCCCACGGUGCAUGCUCUCUCCCGGGAGCCAGGGUCAUCCCACUCAGAGCGUCCGGAGUGACCUCGGGGCCCUCUGGCAAGGCGCCAGCUUCCUGGGCUCAGGACCACGCGGCUGUCUCCCCACCUCACUCCCCUCCGUGAAGGAGGCAGAGCCGGGAUCUGGGCCACUUCUGUGUGGCCCUGGGGAUCCUCUGGCAGGAGCAGGGAGGUGGUGGGACCCUGCACAGGACCUGCAGCUGCGGCUCCUGGUCAGUGUCUCCUUCCUGUGAGGGAGGACAAGCUGGACGUGGCAGAGGGAGACGGUGGUCAGGACUGGACCCCACCUCCUGGGGGCAUGCAGAGCGCUAAGUGGGGACAGGGUGGCGGGAGGUGGGCCUGGAGUGUGGGUGCUGUGGCUCCGUUCCCUCUUUAGGGUCCUCCAGGCGAAGAAGCUGUGCUCUAGGUGUCGGCCUUCUGGGCCUGGUCCCCACACCUUCCCAGCCGGAGUCGUCUCAGCAAGCCACAACCCCACGGAGGUGGAUGAGCCUGGAAGAUCAGAGAAGCUCAGCGACUUGCCUGAGGUCACACAGCAGUGUGGCAGAUGCCUCCCAGGCCUUCCCUGGGAACCUCUGAAGUCCCAAGUGUGAGUGGAAGGAAGCCACCUGCCACUUGCAUGCUGGAGGCAUGAGUCCCAGACCCUGAAGAAACUUGGGGAAAGUCAGACACCAGGGAGAUCCCUCUGAGGUCCCUUUGGGGGUGCCAAGCUGCAGCUGGCUUCCAUUUGGGGGCGUUGGUGCAGGAUGCUCCCUGGGCAGAAAAGGGAGGCAGGCUCUGGGUGCACCCCAGGGGGGCGGGAGGCCCCACAGGUAAAGCAACACCCAGAGCACGGCCUAGUGAAGUGGGGUGCUAUUGCCACCGUGGAGCACCCCUGUAAUCCCAGCGGCUUGGGAGGCUGAGGCGGGAGGAUCACAAGUUGAAUGUCAGCCUCAGCAA